GUGAUUUAAACAGAAGAGAGGACCACCCCGCCAACCAAAUGUCCAGGUCCUAUUCCAUGGAACCUAUGAACAGGUUGUCCCACAUUGCAAAAGGGACUUCACAGAUGUCGGUAAGUUAAGGCCAUUGAGACGAAUGAUUCUGGAUUGUCUGUUGGGCCCAAUGUGAUCAAAAGUUUCCCUAGAAGAGCUAGAGAAGAUGCGAUAAUGGAAGCGGAAUCAAAGACAGAUUUGAAGAUGCUGCUGUCUUUGGAGAGAAUGGCCAGGAGGCAAGGAACACAAGCAGCCCCUAGAAGUUGGAAAAGGUUUCAAAAGGACUGGUUGAAAACUAAGAUCUUAAAUCAAUUCAUCGUGUUGGGAAUGGAGCAGGAUAGAGAUCGUUCCUGAAGAUAAAAAUACAUGCAAGCAUAUGCACUUGUGCAUACAUAGUGCUGCUUAAUGAACAUAUGUCAUUGUGGAAGGAGAGGAGAAAUCCGGGCUUGUUCAUUGUUAAGAGGACCCUUCUGCUGAGUGGAACCUGGCCAUCUUUGAUCAAUGUGGCUAAAGCUUGUGAACUGACUCUUCUACUCCUGGUACUUACUUAUACCAUUUUUUCCCACCAAGGAACAACCUUAAUGGAUUUUAGUAGAAUCGCCUCCUUUCACUCUUAGUGGUGCCAUUCCCACUCUGUCAUAGACGAGCAGCCUUAUUAGUCACACUCAGGACCAGUACUAGCAACAAUCUGUCACUGUGGCCGACGGCACGCAUCAUCCAUGAUAACUAAACAUUCACCCCAAGACCUGAUGAUUUGUCUUGGCACUGCAUCCUGUAGCACAAAGCAACAGAAACCAGUGGUUAUGCCUGUCCUUUCUAUCUUUUAUUCUUUCUUUCUUUUUUUUUUUUUUUUUUGGUCAUAGCUCAAAGCUUAUUGAGUGUAAAAGACAUUUUCCCUUUAAAAAAUGCUUACUCGAUGUUAUCUCCUUCACGCUCUGGGUCGAGCUCAUUUGGUGAAGGGUCAUCACACACUCCCUUUGUGAUAAUGUCAGUGAGUCAAUAGAGUGGAUUGGGGAUUUCGGUUUCUAUCUGAAUUUUGACGAUCUGCUUUUCUUGCAAUAUUUAACAGGAAAAUAUGGAUUGCAGCCUGUGCUUGCCUGCCAAAGUGACUCUUCCAUUUUAUUAUCGUUUAUUUUCCUUUAUUUCUAGGAUGAGUUCUACAAUAGACAUAGACAGGGAAUAGAAUUAGUGUGAGCCAAUCAGAUCCUACUAGCAUAAGCAACCCCCAUAAGGUGAUCAUGAUGUACAACGCCAAUGCUAGUACUCUUGGGUGCAAUAAUUUAUUGCAAUCAUAAAAUGUAUGUAAAAUAAAUAAUAUUUUUAAUAA
rnacentral:lncRNA from 1 species